GACGAACGCUGGCGGCGUGCUUAACACAUGCAAGUCGAACGGAAAGGCCUCUUUCGGGGGGUACUCGAGUGGCGAACGGGUGAGUAACACGUGAGUAACCUGCCCUUGACUUUGGGAUAACUUCAGGAAACUGGGGCUAAUACCGGAUAGGAGCUCCUGCUGCAUGGUGGGGGUUGGAAAGUUUCGGCGGUUGGGGAUGGACUCGCGGCUUAUCAGCUUGUUGGUGGGGUAGUGGCUUACCAAGGCUUUGCCGGGUAGCCGGCCUGAGAGGGUGACCGGCAACAGUGGGACUGGGAUACGGCCCAGACUCCUACGGGAGGCAGCAGUGGGGAAGAUUGCACAAUGGGUGGAAGCCUGAUGCAGCAACGCCGAGUGCGGGAUGACGGCCUUCGGGUUGUAAACCGCUUUCGCUCAUGACGAAGCUUUGUGUGACGGUAGUGGGUAAAGAAGCACCGGCUAACUACGUG
rnacentral:rRNA from 1 species